rnacentral:rRNA from 1 species
UACGUAGGGUGCAAGCGUUGUCCGGAAUUAUUGGGCGUAAAGAGCUCGUAGGCGGUUUGUUACGUCGGCUGUGAAACCCUGGGGCUCAACCCCGGGCCUGCAGCCGAUACGGGCAGACUAGAAUUCGGUAGGGGAGACUGGAAUUCCUGGUGUAGCGGUGAAAUGCACAGAUAUCAGGAGGAACACCGGUGGCGAAGGCGGGUCUCUGGGCCGAUAUUGACGCUGAGGAGCGAAAGCGUGGGGAGCGAACAGG